rnacentral:lncRNA from 1 species
AUGGACUUAAAAGAAAUUUUAAUUUUGUUCCAGGAACUGAUGAAUGAGACUAAUAAUGAAGAGAAUGAUGAUUAUAGUCUCUACAAUUUGUUUGAGCCAGGGGCAAAUUCAACCCCGCAACCAAAGCCAUCGGGCUUUCACGCGCCAAAUGAAGACUUUGCAAGCUUACUUGGGGCGUGGAGCCGACUAGCAUUACACAAAAUUUGGGAGCUGCCACCACAGUCACAGCUGAAAAUACAGCACCGGUACACAAUCGAAGUGUCCACCAUGAGAAGAAGAAGAAAAGCAGAUGGUGGAAAAGCAGAUGGUGGCUGCUGGGCUGUUGUUGAAUUUUUUACCUUCUCGCUUUCAUAUUUUAUUUUAGAGAGAGACUCGUUAUUUUGUUUUUAAAGUUUAGUUAUAUUUUUAUAUGUUGUUUGUCAAGUGAUAUUUUGUUUUUUCUUUUAUUAAAUUUAUUGAGUCAGCAUAGUUGGGAUUCAAUUUUUACAAAGAUACUUCCUCCAAAAACUUAACUAAGAUCCUUAGUUGUUGUUUCUUUUCUUUCUUUUUUUCUUUGGCAUCGCUCAGAAAAAACUAUUCUUUCAAGCACCGACUUGAUUAAUGUAAAAGACUCUGAACACUAAAGCUACAGCUCAGAAAUGUAUCCUAGCGAAUGGAAGAAUUGAGAGAUUAAACUUUCAUUAUAUGAAUCAGUGCCUGCCAGAUCCUGUUUUGGAUUACUUUUCCACUUUUAUUGUAUGUAAUUCCCUAUCCUGCGCAUACAGCAAAAGUGGAAAAGUAAUCUGAAACGGUCUCUGGACAGGCGUAGAUUCAAAUUUUUCAUAAAUGAGAUUUCGGGAUUUUUGAGGCAAUAGCUUCUGUACUGACAUCGAUUGAACUCUUCUAAACGCGAACAAGGUUGAAUAAUAUUUAUCAUGCUGACCUAUUGAAUUACCACAAAAACCGGAACAUUAAAAAAAUUUGAAAGCAAAGGUCGGAAAACAAGCAUCUCGAUUUGUAGCGCUGCAGAUUUGGCCUUCAUUUUGCAAUAAGCACUCGACUAUUUCGACUUUUACUCGUCCAUAAUUGCACUCACUUGCACAGAGAAACUAAUGGCGCAUUAUGUCUUUUCCCCCUCAAAAAUGAGUAGUAAAUAGUAUUCCUUAACGCAAAAUGAAGAAUGUUCGUUCUUGGUCAUAUCUCCUUUCCUUAAAGAGGGGAAAACAUCCGUUUAGGUUAAACUCUCCUUCAAGCAGAACUAAUGUCUCAAUUUUGAGUUUUUCGCCGAAAAGCCGCAAUUUUCUUUUGGCGACCUUGUUUAGAUCAUAUCUUUCGAAUUGAAUUAGUGCCACCGUGAACUUACGAAUCACUAUAGAAGGUUAGAAAUGUACUAACCAACUAACUAACUAGAAAUGUAUAAUUUCUUAUUUCACCCAUUUUUUUACCCCCCUGUUUUUCAAACAAGCAUCGUACCUAAUUCAAGAAGGAUGAUCACAAAUGAAAAGAGAAGAGCCGAAGGGAGUUACUUGCCUCGUGACUCUUCAAAUGUUCACCUGACAAGUUAUUUAUUUCUUCAAUUUCAUUUCUUAGUUUUAUACUAAUUAUCUUCGUACUUAGAGUAAAUUCGAAGCGUAUGUCACAAGACAUAUUCUUGUUUAAUGAAAAAAUAAGCACAUUGCACAGCGAGACUUCGGAAUGUGUCAGUGCAACUGAGCUUCCCCUCCAUUCAUCCCUUCGGUAUUAUAAUAUUAUCAUAAACCGUUUUAAUCAUACCUGUUCCAGGUUGGCUAAACUUUUUUAUCAUAGCUUUUUCCCAAUUAAGGAGGUUUUUCAAACUUCCCAUCUUUUUUUGAAUUUCCUUGACCGAUCUCCCCAGAGUUGCAGCAAUUUCACUCCAGGCUUCGUAUUUUUUAUUGAAGUUUGAGUACCGUUUUCCGAAUUCCAAAGCACCGGAAACUUUUCAUAAAGGUUGAUUAGGAGAAAUUCCUCUUCAAUACUCCAACAGACCAUGGAAGCUCAAUAGAAAAAUCGAAACAACCAUAAAAAUAACAGAAGAUGAAAACACUCUGGUCCGCUUUUGAAACAAAGUCAAUCAGGUGCAAACAACCCGCGAAUGAUUGACAGUUACAGAAAACGAAAAUAAGUGAUUAUCAGUUCAAAUUCAAAAUUGAAAACACAGUUACGUAAUCGUAUUUGAUCAUCUCAUGCAAUGUCUCAAGGACUGAACCAAAUAAACAGCAUAGAAUCUAAAAUCGUCAUCAUGUUUGGUUUUUUCUCACUCCACGCAGUAUUACAGUCAUUACGACAUCGUUGACCUCUUCGUAGGAACUCUUCCCCUCAUCAACUUUCAUUAUUAAUGACUCCUUGUGAUAGCUUACUGCCGUCACUGCAUCCAUAUAAGGAGUGACUCACUUGAUUUCUCGAGGGGUUUUUUUUCCAUCUCAUAGGCCCCUAGCAAGUACAGGCGCAGUCACUAUAUUUGAUUCAGUGUUGAUGUAUCAUGGUAUAAUGAUAAAGUAUUACAAAUUAAAAAUAUUUAUUUAUUUGCUUUCCGAAAAUUUGUGUUACCAUUCACUUAAUUAACAAGGUACCGAGACACCGAGCUGCAACUAACAUGGCGCGAGAAACCUCUCCCCUUAACUAACGCGCACACAGAGAGAAAACUCAACACAACAGUUCGUAUGAUUCGGGAAGCAAAACACAAAAUAACCGAACCCUUCGAUUGACCCUGGAGUUUCCCAGUCUCUCCAUUGGUUUUAGCGCUAAAGUCACCGCAAACGGUACCAAAAUCAACACAAAAUUAGUGUCGGUUGGUGUUUCACUUCUUGUGUCACCCAAAGGUAACACAAGAACACAAAUAUUUUCAUAUCGGUGCGGUCGUUUUCAUCUCACAGAUGAAAACUCCUCGGCUGUAAAACUAUUUAUCGCGAUCUAACUCAUUUCAAAUUUCACCUGAAAUUUGAGAGCGAAGUCGAAGUUAGGCACAGAAGCUUCGGGCGUUGGCAUAAAAGCUCUCGGAAGCCGCUCGUAUGGGGUUAGUCGACGUGAAGUUUCAAGACCCGAGACAACCCGGUCCAGCCCCUGUAAGAGCAGCUAGUCAAAGAAUAAAGUGUGAAUUGGACUGCAUUUUACAAUUUGGAACUGUAAAUUCUGGCCCGGUUUAAAAACAACGUAUGUGCCAUUAGUUUCCCUAUGCACAUAGGUGUUUUUUCAGAUGAGCCAGAAUUUAUAGUUCCAAAUUGCAAAAUGCAGUCCAAUUGUGCCCAUAAAAGUGUGGUUCCAUUUUCCCCCCAUAGGGUUCUCACAACACUAUUUUUGACUACUACUUACUAUUUUACACUUUCGUGACUCAUACCAGGAGAAACUCCCAGUCCUCAGAUAUAUUUGGAGCCAGUUUUCCCAUAACUCACAAUCUAUCUACCAAAAUACCGAGAAAAAAGUCUUCAUGCUCAAGGCCACCAUCACAGUUCCACGAAAAAUUUUCAAUUUGUGUCGCAGCUUGAAUAAAAAAUUAAAAUAAAAAACCCAGUUCUUCAUGGAACUGAAUCAAAUGGUCCAUCCUCAAAAAACAGAGGCUAGUUUUUCAAAAUUCCCAGCGUAUAUUAUAAUGGAGCUCUCACAUUUUGCAAAAAUUAUGAUUCAAGAACUGUUUUGUACGUAAAUUUUGCGAAAAGUACGAUGGUGCCCCAAACUUUUUCUCCCCAAGCUCAUAAAAAAGCUCUCGAAAUUGAGGUUAUAAGAGAGAAAAUCGUCUACGUUAUAAUGAGAGUUCAGCAUAAACGGCCCAUCUCUUCUUAUACAAAUAAGGAGCGAAUGCAUUAGCAAAGUUGACGAGGUUACAAAAUUGUAGCCACCCCCCGCCCGCCCUCACCCACACACACCCUCACCAACACAAAGAGCCAAUUCAGUUGAUAUAUUUGCUCUCUAACUGUUCACGGUCGAGUUUGACUGGAGAUAAGGCGGAUUUUCAACCUAGCGUGGAAGAUCCCCGCCAUUACGGUCUCGACUUAGAGAGCUUUUUUGGAGCUUGGAAGUUCGUUUUAGAGAAAACGAGUUGCACCAUCGAUUUCCUUGCAGAAUCCGAUGCUAGUGUUACCAUGUUCAACCCGUUACAAUAUUUAUCACAGAGUGAAUUAGCGGGAAUUUUCUUUGAUAUUGUCACAUUUACAAGUUCAAAUUGUGAAUAAAUGAAUAAAAUAAUUUUGUACACAAGUUUCCUUGAAAAUUUGUAUUUUAUGAGGUGAAACUUGGCAACCUCCAAAGAUUCAUACGGCUCGUUUCGGCUACAAAAUAAACUUGACUCAUAGAUUAAAGUAAAAGCAAGAGUGUGAAGUAUAACAAAUCAUGCACACCAAAAAACAUUCGAUAAAAAAAGUUCCCUUUAAAUUUGUUGACUUUUUGCAUUAGGGCGUAAGUUCAUGAAAACGUUUCAAAAUUGCUACGGAGAAUUGUAUUUGUAUGGAUCAACAAACGAGUGAAUCUCCUCGAAUAUUUCACGAGAUUUAGGUGACCUUGAGUUAAAAAGGUCCCCUUUUUCCUCAGGGCAUUCACGCAAUUAUACUACCACACAGACGUAAAGGAUUCUUGGAAAUUCUAAAACGUUGGAGUAGACUUUAGUCAAAAAGGAUUCAGCCAACCUUUGACGCACAUUCUUGCUACUGGGUAACUUUUUUUAAUCCUUUUUUUUGGGAGUGCUUUCACUCAAGUUGGUGUUUAAAAAUGAGUGCUGGCCCACCUCUCAUUUCGACAAUGCUGAUUGAUUAUGAGAGUCGCAAUUGAAAAAUAUAUUUCCAAAACAGACGCGUGCAGAUUGCCUUAACUCAUUUUUUCCCCAGUUUUUUCCUGUUUUUAUCUUCGUAAAAAACGAUCACACCGUGGCUUGACGCAAACUCAUGAUUUUGGUGCCUGUAUCAACGUUUCAUUCGUGCUG